UCCGCGAAACAUCAGAAACACUUGAGGACUGCCCUCGAUACAUUGAAGACAAUCCACGGGGGGGAAUGUCUCCUGGAGUCAUUUCCAUUCCCCGUGCGAUAGGCUGGGACGAGGAACUACACUCUCCCUCCCCACAAGCCCAUUGGUCUGGUCUCCCCGACCACCCGGGACCAUCACUGUGGUAACGGCGUCUCGCGGGCGCCGCGGUGGCUCACUACGGUUCCAUUGUUGUGGGAAGGGUGGCAGUGGUGACUGCGCCUGGCGUUGCCUGGGGAACGCCAGGACUCACAGUAGCAAAAUGGGCCUCUCCCCGACGCCCCUCCUCCUCCUCUUCCUCCCCGAGCACAAAGCAAAGGGCACCCCUUCCUGGUGGAUGUCGGGUGUCCCAUCCAGAACUUUGCGGGGUCCCCUGAGGGACCCGUGGCGGAACCGGCCCCAAGUUCGUCGGAUUUCGCCUAUGUCUUCAGACAGAAGUCCGUUAGAGGAGGGAGCAAGUCUGGUUUCGCUCACCACCCUGUCUCCAGGAAGAACACACCGCUGGCUUGUGUCGGGCACUCAGAGGCUGGCUGAACAGAGAACAAGAUCGGAGUGGGAAAUGAGAGAUUCUUAAGUGGAAACGUACUCUUUGUCAGUUUACGAGAAACUGGAUCAUGGCUUAUUUCAGGAACAUAGAUACCAUCAAUGUCACUGCCUUGCCAAUGGUGCCAGUAGACGAGCACCUGACUGUCUCCCUCGCUGCGCGGAACGCGAUGAAGAAUGCCGCAAGGAAGAAUCUGGAAGACAACCCACCCUCCUGCCUUAUUGGUUCCAUCCACCAGGUGAACGAAACGAUUGGGGAGCUAGAUCUGAGUCCCAAUGCGUUGGCCAACAACCUGGCAAUUGAGAGAUUUGAGUUGGAGAAGAAGGCCUUGAGAGAGAAAAGUCACGGCGACCCGGGAGACAGAGACAAGAGUCACAGAAAAUCACAGCAUAUUUGCAGAGGCUCGGAAUCUAGGAAUGUCAAAUCUUUCAUCAAUAAAAGGAAAACAGCAGAUAAAAAUCUGCUGGUGGAGCUGUACCAGCACCCACAUAAAUUUAACAGCGCUGUGCCGAACAGGCUUCCAAAUGGGGUGAACUUCUGUGACAUGGUGGGCAAUGUGGUCCGGGCUGAGAGAAACCGCCUUAGUGGCAAGUCUUUCUGCUCCGAUAGAGAAUUAGAGAAGUUUCUGUCUUCUCCUUCUCCAAGAGCCAUAUGGCUGGAUAGCUUCUGGUGGAUCUUUCACGAGAGGUACCAGCCAAACAAGGAGAUCCAGAAUAAGCUGUUUGAUCGGAUAUCCCAACACUACGCGUCUCUCUUGUUGCAUGAAUCCAAAUCCCACUAUGAAGAGGCUCUCUUGAAAAGGCUGCCAUCACUUCUGAGUAAAGCCCUGUACACCAGCUUCUGUUGCUGCUUCCCACAGUCCUGGUUCAACACGCACGAUUUCAAGUCGGACAUCUGCAACACGAUGAGCCUGUGGAUUUCGGGUAUAUAUCCUUGCCUACAGAGCUAUAACAGCUGGGAAUACUCGGAACUAGAUCCAGAGAGAUUCCGGAGAGAAGAAUUAAUUUUGCAGAGAAAACGACUGUUAAAGAGAAGAGAGUUUCCUUUGUCCACUUCUAAGAGCUACGCCUUCCAGAAGUCUACCCAGAGCAAGGGCCCGAAGGUAAGCUCCCUCCUGCCACCAUCACUGCCAGCAUCUCCUCCCACACGAAACCAAAUGCUACCGCUACCGAUCAAGGCCUCCUUUUUCCAGAAAGCUGGACAAAUAAAUGUCUGGGAAAACAAUGAAAGAGGCCUUUGGCUGCCCGUUUUUUCUUCCUGUAUAAAUUCAACCACGGAGAAAGGUCCUGUGGCCAAGAAGAAAUCACGGGAUGGCUCACAAACACAGAAUGCCACAAAAGAGAAUCGCCGGCAGACUCUGGUCUUGAGGAAAGCUGCAAAACAAGUCAAGAGGAUAUCAGAAGCAAGAGAAUAUGAGAAUAUGCUUCCCAAGCAGUCUUACCCAGCCUGCAAAAGCCCCGAGCUGACUUUGAACUUCUUCAACAUUUACGGGAAGAGCCCUCUGAUUGUGCACUUCCUCCAGAACCACGCCAGUCUGCAGCAGCACGGCAAAGACGUGUUGAUAGUCAGAAGGGAAAAAACCAAGAGCAUCCCUGAGUCCAUCCUGACGUACGCCGAGGUCAUCGAACUGACCCUGAUCAACAUGAAGAAGCGGAAGGAAAACCUUCGCGUGCUGAACUGGCUCCACUGGAAUGAAUGGAGUUAUUUUCAUGAAUACCUAAAGGCACUACAAGAAAACUUCCUCAGGGAGGUGAAGAAUAUCGAUCAAAGAGCAUUGGAUCAAAAGAAGGCAAAUCGCACGUUCAUCCAACCUUCAACCUUCAUUGAAGAGUCCCCCGACAAGAAAUUUAGAGGAAGCCAUGAGAGGGAGAUGGCGUUUAUUUCAAGGAAGGAAAAGGAGGGGAGGAAACGAGAAGCAAGACAGACGUUGAGCCUCUCUCCCUCGUCACUCUCAAGCCCUGAUUAAUUCUCUUCCCUGGGACUAGGAAGCUCCCGCAGGAGCCCCGGCUAUUUCCGCCAGGAAGGACACCAAGGAGUCAAAACCAACUCAGAAAAAGGAAGUCAGUUUCCAUAACCCCUCACUUUGUAACACACCUAGAUGAAUCCUUAUCCAAGAAUUGGGAGAACUUUCGGCUGAAGCCUGCCCAUGUUGUUGGGUUUCAUCUAAAACAGAAACAACAACAAAAAAAUAAUACUGCAACACAUUUAAUCAUUCCCAGUCCAUGGGACAAAGAAUAUUAAAGUUCACUUCUCUCUGGACCGAAGUCAGGAUUUAAACUGAAGUCACCUCAUUCAUUCAUGCCUUUACCAACUAAAUCUUCCACUCACUUAGUAGCAGUAAUACUAUGGAAUACAUAAUAUUAUUAUAUAACACAGUAAUAGUAAUCAUAGGAGAAUCAUUUAUUGAGCACUUAAUGACAUGCCGAGUACUCUGUUAAGUCCUGCUUUUUUUUUUUAACUUUUUUUUUUUUUAAUUGAGAGAUAGAGACAGAGCAUGAGCAUGGGAGGGGCAGAGAGAGGGGGAGACACAGAAU